rnacentral:rRNA from 1 species
GUGGGGAAUAUUGGACAAUGGGCGAAAGCCUGAUCCAGCAAUGCCGCGUGUGUGAAGAAGGCCUGCGGGUUGUAAAGCACUUUCAGUGGGGAAGAAAAGCGCAGUGCUAAUAACGCUGCGUCUUGACGUUACCCAAAGAAGAAGCACCGGCUAACUCCGUGCCAGCAGCCGCGGUAAUACGGAGGGUGCGAGCGUUAAUCGGAAUUACUGGGCGUAAAGCGCACGUAGGCGGUCAGGCAAGUCGGGUGUGAAAGCCCUGGGCUCAACCUGGGAAUGGCAUUCGAAACUAUCUGACUCGAGUAUGGGAGAGGGAAGCGGAAUUUCCGGUGUAGCGGUGAAAUGCGUAGAUAUCGGAAGGAACACCAGUGGCGAAGGCGGCUUCCUGGACCAAUACUGACGCUGAGGUGCGAAAGCGUGGGGAGCAAACAGGAUUAGAAACCCCAGUAGUCC